rnacentral:lncRNA from 1 species
CAAAAGGUUCCCGACUUUAUCCGGUUUCCGCAACCGUAAUCAUUUGUCAUUUCGAUUACUUCAUCCAUCAACCUUUUUUUCAAUAGCGGUACGCUCUAAAGUAAAGGAUAAGCUUGCAUUCUAGAAGCGGUAGCUUCCCGCCUCCUUCAUUUCUACUGCCUCCUUCGGUGAUAAAAGUUCCCUUCCCUUUUCUAAAAUGCCCGAUUGGUCUGCCUCAGCAAAUGUACAAAGUGGACCGCUGUUUGGCUGACCCUCUUCUUCCCAUUUGGGUUGGG